UACAGAGGUCUCAAGCGUUGUUCGGAUUCAUUGGGCGUAAAGGGUGCGUAGGUGGCGCGGUAAGUCGGGUGUGAAAUUUCGGAGCUUAACUCCGAAACUGCAUUCGAUACUGCCGUGCUUGAGGACUGGAGAGGAGACUGGAAUUUACGGUGUAGCAGUGAAAUGCGUAGAGAUCGUAAGGAAGACCAGUAGCGAAGGCGGGUCUCUGGACAGUUCCUGACACUGAGGCACGGAAGGCCAGGGGAGCAAACGGG
rnacentral:rRNA from 1 species